GACGACGCUGUGACUGAUCCCGGCUUGGAGCCGAAGCUGCGAGCGAGGCAGUGAAAGGGUGGCAGAUUUCUGUGUAAGAGCUGCAGAAAAUGAUCAACUUCCAGAAUCUGACUGCCCACUUGUUGAUGAACCAGGGAAGCAUCGGGAAAGCAAAGACAAUUUUUUGAAGUCAGUUUUGCUCACGUUCAAUAAAAUUCUGACUAUGGAGAGAAUCCACCAUUAUAAUAUGAGCACAAGUCUUAAUCCAAUGAGAAAAAAAUCAUAUAAAUCGUUUGAGAAGCGUUUGCCACCUAAUUUAGACUUACUUAAAUAUAAUAGAAGUUAUACUGUAGAAAACGCUUAUGAAUGCACUGAAUGCGGGAAAGCCUUCAAAAAGAAGUUUCAUUUCAUUAGACAUGAAAAAAAUCAUACAAGGAAAAAACCUUUUGAAUGCAAUGACUGUGGAAAAGCCUAUAGCAGGAAGGCACACCUUGUAACUCAUCAGAAAAUUCAUAAUGGAGAGAGAUCCUUUGUGUGCAAUGAUUGUGGGAAGGCAUUUAUGCAUAAAGCCCAACUCGUGGUCCACCAGAGACUUCACACUGGAGAGAAGCCUUAUGAGUGCAGUCAAUGUGGGAAAACAUUCACUUGGAACUCCUCAUUUAAUCAACACGUGAAAUCUCAUACACUUGAGAAGUCAUUUGAAUGUAAGGAAUGUGGGAAAACCUUCAGAUAUAGUUCAUCCCUUUAUAAACAUUCCAGAUUUCAUACAGGAGAGAAACCCUACCAAUGUAUCAUAUGUGGCAAAGCUUUUGGCAACACAUCCGUGCUUGUUACACACCAAAGAAUUCAUACAGGAGAGAAACCUUACGGAUGUAUUGAAUGUGGCAAAGCCUUCAUCAAGAAGUCUCAUCUCCUCAGACAUCAGAUAACUCAUACAGGAGAGAAGCCCUAUGAAUGUAACAGAUGUGGGAAGGCAUUUUCCCAGAAGUCAAAUCUUAUUGUACAUCAGAAAAUUCAUACAUAAUAUUCACUUUAUGAAUAUGAGAAGGCCUUAUUAAAUAUUUGCUAAAUCUCAUUAAAUACUAAAGAAUUCAUGGUGAGAAGUCUACAAUUUAAAUGAAUUUGGAAGAGUAGAUUCCCAUAAAAAACAAUCAAUGCCAAUCAUGUUCUAGAAGUGAUAAUAAACUUUUUACAGAAAAUAUGAUAGAAAACAACUAUAAAUAAAAGAGCAUAAAGCUUGGAAAGUAAGCAUAACUUAAAUAAUCAAAGAACCAGUGAAAACUACAUUUGCCAUUCCUGACUUUUAAUUUUUAUAAUAAAAUAAUUAUGCAAGUGUAAGUUUAAAAUAU
rnacentral:sRNA from 1 species